rnacentral:rRNA from 1 species
CAGUAGCCGCGGUAAUACAGAGGGUGCGAGCGUUAAUCGGAUUUACUGGGCGUAAAGCGUGCGUAGGCGGCUUUUUAAGUCGGAUGUGAAAUCCCUGAGCUUAACUUAGGAAUUGCAUUCGAUACUGGGAAGCUAGAGUAUGGGAGAGGAUGGUAGAAUUCCAGGUGUAGCGGUGAAAUGCGUAGAGAUCUGGAGGAAUACCGAUGGCGAAGGCAGCCAUCUGGCCUAAUACUGACGCUGAGGUACGAAAGCAUGGGGAGCAAACAGGAUUAGAUCCCCGGGUAGUCCCUGUCUCUUAUAA